CCUACGGGCGGCAGCAGUGGGGAAUUUUGCGCAAUGCUCGUAAGAGUGACGCAGCGACGCCGCGUGAAUGACGAAGGCCUUCUGGUCGUAAAGUUCUUUCGACAGGGAAGAAAAUGCCUAUAAGUAACUGUUUCUGUAUUUACGUUACCUGUAUAAGCAGCCCCGGCUAACUCCGUCCCAGCGGCCGCGGUAAUACGGAGGAUGCGAGCGUUAUCCGGAUUUAUUGGGUUAAAGGGGUGCGCAGGCGGCGUGUCAAGUCAGCGGUAAAAUGUCGGGGCUCAACCCCGGCCGGCCGUUGAAACUGGCGGGCUCGAGUUGGAGAGAAGUAGGCGGAAUUCGUGGUGUAGCGGUGAAAUGCAUAGAUAUCACGAAGAACCCCGAUUGCGAAGGCAGCAUACCGGGUCAAGACUGACGCUGAGGCACGAAAGCGUGGGUAUCGAACAGGAUUAGAUACCCCAGUAGUC
rnacentral:rRNA from 1 species